rnacentral:rRNA from 1 species
UAGUCAUAUGCUUGUCUCAAAGAUUAAGCCAUGCAUGUCUAAGUACAAGCCUCACUAAGGUGAAACCGCGAAUGGCUCAUUAAAUCACACCUAAUCUACUGGAUAGUUAACAGUUACUUGGAUAACUGCGGUAAUUCUGGAGCUAAUACAUGCACAAAGCCCCUAACUUACGUGAGGGGCGCUUUUAUUAGAUCAAAACCAAACGGCUUCGGCUGUAUCCUUGGUGACUCUGAAUAACUUUGGGCUGAUCGCAUGGCCUAGCGCCGGCGAUAUAUCCUUCGAAGGUGUGCCCUAUCAACUGUCGACUGUGGCAUAGACGCCCACAGUGGUUUUGACGGGUAACGGGGAAUCAGGGUUCGAUUCCGGAGAGGGAGCCUUAAAAACGGCUACCACAUCUAAGGAAGGCAGCAGGCACGCAAAUUACCCAAUGACCGAAGGUCGAGGUAGUGACAAAAAAUAACGAUACGGGACUCAUCUGAGGCCCCGUAAUCGGAAUGAGUACACUUUAAAACCGUCCCCGAGGAUCUAUU